GAGGAUAGCUUAUCAGUUUGGAAUCGCACCGCCACUGACCACCCGAGUACGACACGUAUCCGCGAUACGCUACGUAGGAUAUUAAACAUACCUCUCACAACAGCAAUGGAGUAUAAGAUACACUGUGAUAGCCUUAAAUAUGUAGCAAUUAAUAAAGGCCCUCUGAAAAGCUGAAAUUCAGUAAAUACGUUCAACGCAACAAAAAUAAAAACAAUUGCAGAUGAUACAACACCCUUUGUGGAAAACAAUACUAGCAACAACAACAACAACAUCAAUGGCAACGGCAGCGGUAGCAGCACCAACCAAAUCAAUACAAACAGCAAUAAUCACAACAACCAUGGAGACAACUACAACUGCAACAAUUGUUCACACAACAAUACAACUGACAUUGCUAAAACCUAGAACACAAAAUAAAAACAAAAAUACAACAAAACCUAUCCUCUAACCACCGUACCAAUAAAAACAGCAAAGAGGCAUAGCAACGCAACUUAUGUACACUCUGGGACCACAUCGCCUACCACAGUACGGAAAAAGCUAAACUGGAUAUAAAUAAUUGCAAAACUUUAAUUUUCAUGCUGAAUGCAAAUACAUGCGUACACACAUACAUAUACACAUAUGUAGUAUGAUGCAUUAAGAGAAGCAACAUUUUGCGAUUAUUUGCAUAAAGGUUUGCGAUUUAAUAAAUAGCGAAACUUGGACCCCAACUCAAACGAAAACACGGCUGCAACCUCAACUUAAAUAUCAACCUCAAACCGACUAAAAUUAAAUUAAAAACCGAAUAUUCAACAUUUGCCAUUAGCGUUUGCUGCAAACACGAAAAUUCUCUAAAAAUGUUGUUGCCACAUAAUAUUGCAUUAAUAUAUCACGAUUAUCACGUGAAUACUGUCAUCUGCGCGACACCACAAAUCGCCUAAAUUGUUUUUGUUUCAUACCGAUUUGCAAAUAAUUCUCGAUGAAUUUCUGUUCAACAUAAAAAUCCAAAAAGUUGGUACCCACCCCUUUAAAGAAUAUUGAGUGAAGAAAAGUAAAAAUUUUUACAAAAAUUAUAAACCAACUGAAUAAAUCUAAAAGAAAAACUAUCAGACAGCAAACCUACAAAGAUACAUACAUACAUACAUACAUACAUACAAAUAAAACAUACUAAACCAACAUAAAACAAAUAAAGAAAACUUAAAUACUGUAAUAAAAUUUAUUGAGAAUUUCCCCCCACGCAAAACAAGUAUAUAAAGAACGAAAGAUGAAAAGUUAUAAAAAGGUUUAAUAAAAAGUUAUUAAAGUUGCAAAAACAUAAAACAAAUUAAAA